UACGUAGGGUGCGAGCGUUAAUCGGGAAUUACUGGGCGUAAAGCGUGCGCAGGCGGUUGGUUAAGUCUGAUGUGAAAGCCCCGGGCUCAACCUGGGAAUGGCCGUUGAAACUGGCGAACUGGAGUGUGGCAGAGGGGGGUGGAAUUCCGCGUGUAGCAGUGAAAUGCGUAGAGAUGCGGAGGAACACCGAUGGCGAAGGCAGCCCCCCUGGGGCUGACACUGACGCUCAGGCACGAAAGCGUGGGGAGCAAACAGG
rnacentral:rRNA from 1 species